CAGUAGCCGCGGUAAUACGUAGGGUGCAAGCGUUAAUCGGAAUUACUGGGCGUAAAGCGUGCGCAGGCGGUUAUAUAAGUCAGAUGUGAAAUCCCCGGGCUCAACCUGGGAACUGCAUUUGAGACUGUAUGGCUAGAGUGUGUCAGAGGGGGGUAGAAUUCCACGUGUAGCAGUGAAAUGCGUAGAUAUGUGGAGGAAUACCGAUGGCGAAGGCAGCCCCCUGGGAUAACACUGACGCUCAUGCACGAAAGCGUGGGGAGCAAACAGGAUUAGAGACCCCAGUAGUCCCUGUCUCUUAUAA
rnacentral:rRNA from 1 species